rnacentral:lncRNA from 1 species
AGAUUUGAACCCGAGUGUUUAAGAAAAUAAAAUUACUUCAAAACUACUCAGCUACAUCUUAAGGGUAAUUAUUAUUAUUUUUUGGUUAAAUCUAAUGUAGCUAGAUAGUUUUAAAAAUAUGUCUCUUAUUGGCUUAAUCAUCUAGAAGAGUAGUAUUAAAAAUAUAAAUAAAUAAAAGAAAAGAGAAAGAAUCUAUUGCAUAAAUUAUACUAUAUUCUUGUUGCCUCUUAAUAAAUUAUUGUGUGUGAAUGCAUCGUAAUUUUGUUUUCCGUUGGUACUUUCCAUCCAAAGUAUAAUGCACAAAAGCACAAAUUUAAUCAUAAGAAUUAAUCCAUAAAAAAAUGAGGAUAAUAGAUAGAAAUGGGAUGCGGCAAAAGACAUUGUGAAACACAUCGGACUUCUCGUCCAUGCCAAUGCUGUUACAAUGUUCCCCUAUGCCUGCCUCGACCCCCACCGGGGCCAAUGUGCAUGCCGGGUUAGCCGGGACCACCCAUAAUUUCAACACAAUAGACCGUCGCCGGUCGCUGUGGUAGCUGCUGACCCUCUUCCGACAGUGAUUGUGGGAUUGUUUUUCAAUUGCUGGUUACGUGUUUGGACCAAAUGUUUCUGCUUGUGUUCUGUUUUUCCAGCCUCACAAAUUACAGCACUAAUGCUCCUGUUUUCUUUUCAAAGUGAAAAUGUCUUGUUCGAGGAACAUGAUUGAAUUCCAAGGUUUCAUCCACGUGUUGGACUACAUUUUAUUUUUAUUUUUUAAUAUUCUAUUUUUAUUUGAUUCUAUUCUCUCGUUUAACAUUCUUUGAUUUGUUCGUGAGAAGGAACAAUUGAACAAACAUUUCACAUGGGAAAAUUAAAUAUCGUUGAAUUUGUA